AUUGAACGCUGGCGGCAUGCUUUACACAUGCAAGUCGAACGGUAACAGGCCGCAAGGUGCUGACGAGUGGCGAACAGGUGAGUAAUGCAUCGGAACGUGCCCAGUCGUGGGGGAUAACGCAGCGAAAGCUGUGCUAAUACCGCACACGAUCUAUGGAUGAAAGCGGGGGACCGUAAGGCCUCGCGCGAUUGGAGCGGCCGAUGUCAGAUUAGGUAGUUGGUGGGGUAAAGGCCUACCAAGCCGACGAUCUGUAGCUGGUCUGAGAGGACGACCAGCCACACUGGGACUGAGACACGGACCAGACUCCUACGGGAGGCAGCAGUGGGGAAUUUUGGACAAUGGGCGCAAGCCUGAUCCAGCAAUGCCGCGUGCAGGAAGAAGGCCUUCGGGUUGUAAACUGCUUUUGUACGGAACGAAACGGUCCGGGUUAAUGCCCUGGGCUAAUGACGGUACCGUAAGAAUAAGCACCGGCUAACUACGUGCCAGCCGCCGCGGUAAAAC
rnacentral:rRNA from 1 species